CCUACGGGAGGCUGCAGUAGGGAAUCUUCCACAAUGGGCGAAAGCCUGAUGGAGCAACGCCGCGUGGGUGAAGAAGGUCCUCGGAUCGUAAAACCCUGUUGUUAGAGAAGAAAGUGCGUGAGAGUAACUGUUCACGUUUCGACGGUAUCUAACCAGAAAGCCACGGCUAACUACGUGCCCGCAGCCGCGGUAAUACGUAGGUGGCAAGCGUUAUCCGGAUUUAUUGGGCGUAAAGGGAUCGCAGGCGGGCUGUUAAGUCUGAUGUGAAAGCCUUCGGCUUAACCGGAGUAGUGCAUUGGAAACUGGGAGACUUGAGUGCAGAAGAGGAGAGUGGAACUCGAUGUGUAGCGGUGAAAUGCGUAGAUAUAUGGAAGAACACCAGUGGCGAAGGCGGCUCUCUGGUCUGUAACUGACGCUGAGGUUCGAAAGCGUGGGUAGCAAACAGGAUUAGAUACCCCAGUAGUC
rnacentral:rRNA from 1 species